rnacentral:rRNA from 1 species
UACGAAGGGUGCAAGCGUUACUCGGAAUUACUGGGCGUAAAGCGUGCGUAGGUGGUUCGUUAAGUCCGAUGUGAAAUCACCGGGCUCAACCUGGGAAUGGCAUUUGGGACUGCAAGGCUUGAGUGCGGCAGAGGAGACUGGAAUUCCUGGUGUAGCAGUGAAAUGCGUAGAUAUCAGGAGGAAUACCGAUGGCGAAGGCAGGUCUCUGGGCUGACACUGACGCUCAUGCACGAAAGCGUGGGGAGCAAACAGG